UACGUAGGGCGCAAGCGUUAUCCGGAAUUAUUGGGCGUAAAGAGCUCGUAGGCGGUCUGUCGCGUCGGUCGUGAAAACUUGGGGCUUAACCCUGAGCUUGCGGUCGAUACGGGCAUGACUGGAGUUCGGCAGGGAGACUGGAAUUCCUGGUGUAGCGGUGAAAUGCGCAGAUAUCAGGAGGAACACCGGUGGCGAAGGCGGGUCUCUGGGCCGAUACUGACGCUGAGGAGCGAAAGCGUGGGGAGCGAACAGG
rnacentral:rRNA from 1 species